rnacentral:tRNA from 1 species
GGCUUCAUAGUUCAGUUGGCUAGAGCGUUGGCCGUACUAAAGCCUUCUGCAUGCCGACGUGGGUUCGAAUCCCACCAAAGUCG